CGGCCCGCCUGUUUAUCAAAAACAUAGCCUAGAGUUAUUUUAUUCUAGGUGGGCCCUGCCCGGUGCAAGUUUUGUUAACGGCCGCAGUACUUUGACUGUGCAAAGGUAGCGUAAUCAGUUGGCCUUUAAAUGGGGUCAAGUAUGAAUGGGUUUACGGGGGGCGGCUGUCUCUUUGCUAUUCUCUCAAAUUUGCUAAAAAGGUGAAAAUUCCUUUAUUAAACAACAAAAGACGAGAAGACCCUUAGAAUUUUAAAUCAAGGGCUUAAUUAAGUCCUAUUUUUUUGUUGGGGCGACAGAGAAACAAAAGGAUAACUUUCUUUUGGGGUAGGAUACCAGACAGCUGUUAGCAAGAAAGAAUAAAUUACCUUAGGGAUAACAGCAUAAUUCAAUUUUGAGCUUGUGACCUCGAUGUUGGACUAGGAACCUUAUAACUAGCAGUUAGACAGGACUGUUCUGUUCGAACAUCUUACUCCUACAUGAUCUGAGUUCAAACCGGAGCUCCAA
rnacentral:rRNA from 1 species